UCCACCAAGCAGACUGGUGCAUAUACAGCUAGCUUCGACUGCCAACUGGCAAUCGGUUGAGAGAGAAACAAACCAACUCCUGAAUACAUGGGAAAAAGUAAAAUAUCUUAUUUUGGGGAAAAUAGCUAGAUGAUCUCUUGGGCUAAGGCUAUGGCCCAAGGGAAGGGUUGGAUCCUAACAUUCCCUCCCUCUUAAGAACAACACCUGUCCUCAGGUUUGAAAUG
rnacentral:lncRNA from 1 species